rnacentral:misc_RNA from 1 species
GUCAAAAGUGGAGAGGAAGGCAUUAUUAGUUUAUUAUGUGGAGAUAUUGCAUGAAGACACACCAAGUAAGCACUGUCGUCCACCACCGCCACCACCAAAUCUCACUCACCCAACAAUGCCAGUGCCACCCCACCACCUACAGCACCACUUUAUUAUAAUCCAGAUUGCCAAAGAAAUUAAAGAAGCUACGAGAAUUUCAAGAAUCUUUUAAAGAAUGUUUCUUUGCAUUCCCUAUAUAUAGGGUUAGCUUCUUAACCAAUUCCAGUCACCAAAACCAUUGGCUUCUCUUCUCAAACACUUGCAUAUACACAUAAACAUCAUAUAUACCAAUAGCUAGCUUUCAGUUUUUGAAGCUUGGAGAUUAAAUGGCAAGCUCAAGGGUGCCUGGUGCUGCAUUCUUGGUCUUGCUCCUUGUCGACCUCUGCUUUGCUGGUAGGUCGUCAAAGGCGAUUGUAGGUACAAGAAGUGGAGGUGGUGGAGGAGGAGAAGGGGGAGGUGGUGGUGGCGGCGGUGGUUUAGAAGGAGGACUUGGGUCUGGUUCUGGUUUUGGUUCUGGGUAUGGGUCAGGGGGUGGCGAAGGAUAUGGUGGUGCAGGAGGGUACGGCAGUGGAGGAGGUGGAGGUGGUGGUGGU